GACGAACGCUGGCGGCGUGCCUAACACAUGCAAGUCGAGCGAAUGAAGUUCCUUCGGGAAUGGAUUUAGCGGCGGACGGGUGAGUAACACGUGGGCAACCUACCUCAUAGAGGGGAAUAGCCUUCCGAAAGGGAGAUUAAUACCGCAUAAGAUUGUAGUACCGCAUGAUACAGCAAUUAAAGGAGCAAUCCGCUAUGAGAUGGGCCCGCGGCGCAUUAGCUAGUUGGUGAGGUAACGGCUCACCAAGGCGACGAUGCGUAGCCGACCUGAGAGGGUGAUCGGCCACAUUGGGACUUGGACACGGCCCAGACUCCUACGAGAGGCAGCAGUGGGGAAUAUUGCACAAUGGGGGAAACCCUGAUGCAGCAACGCCGCGUGAGUGAUGACGGCCUUCGGGUUGUAAAGCUCUGUCUUCAGGGACGAUAAUGACGGUACCUGAGGAGGAAGCCACGGCUAACUACGUGCCAGCCGCCGCGGUAAAAC
rnacentral:rRNA from 1 species